GGCAUCAUUCAUUAAUUAGGAUCCUAAUGUAUGAUCUUUAAGUAUUUUACAGUAAUAAGCAGUGUACAUUAUUACAACUUACAGCAUUUAAGGAAGACGAUAUCUGUCUUUUGUACUAUAUUCAAAAAACUUGUUUAGCAGAUAAACCCCAGUCAAACUCUGUAAUUGAGGCUAACUGCUACAAGCUAACAUUGUGAAAACUAUUUACAAUCACAGUUUCAAACAGCAUUAUUGUUGCAAAGACUGUGGACUUUUCAUUCAUUUUUUUCAGUGACUUUUUCAACACAUAUUUUUUAUUUGUAUUUGAUCACAUAUGUUGCUAUAUUUGUGG